rnacentral:piRNA from 1 species
UCCUUGCGCACCAAGGUGUGACCACUUUGU